CCUACGGGAGGCAGCAGUCGAGAAUCAUUCACAAUGGGGGAAACCCUGAUGGUGCGACGCCGCGUGGGGGAAUGAAGAUCUUCGGAUUGUAAACCCCUGUCAUGUGGGAGCAAAUGAAGAAGAUAGUACCACAAGAGGAAGCGACGGCUAACUCGGUGCCAGCAGCCGCGGUAAUACAGAGGGCUCAAGCGUUAUUCGGAUUCACUGGGCGUAAGGGGUGCGUAGGCUGUUUCGUAAGUCGGAUGUGAAAGGCCAGGGCUCAACCCGCGGACGGCACAUGAUACUGCGAGACUAGAGUAAUGGAGGGGUAAGCGGAAUUCUCGGUGUAGCAGUGAAAUGCGUAGAUAUCGAGAGGAACACUCGUGGCGAAGGCGGGUUCCUGGACAUUAACUGACGCUGAGGCACGAAGGCCAGGGGAGCGAAAGGGAUUAGAUACCCUUGUAGUC
rnacentral:rRNA from 1 species